rfam:Arabis alpina cultivar Pajares Aa.chr4_contig_1161, whole genome shotgun sequence.
GGUGCUGUGGUGUAGUGGUUAUCACGUUUGCUUUACACGCAAAAGGUCUCCGGUUCGAACCCGGGUAGCAUCA